UCCUUGAGAAUCUCCGGUUUGGAGGCGA
rnacentral:sRNA from 1 species